ACAAUGAUGGCGUCCCGGUCACCACCGUUUUAUCGGUUGGGAGGCUUGGCCCACCAAAAAAACCUGA
rnacentral:rRNA from 1 species